rnacentral:rRNA from 1 species
UACGUAGGAGGCAAGCGUUGUCCGGAAUUACUGGGUGUAAAGCGCGUGUAGGCGGCAGGCCAAGUCUGUGGUGAAAUCGCUCGGCUCAACUGGGCGGGGUCCAUGGAAACUGGUCAGCUGGAGGACGGUAGAGGUGAGUGGAAUUCCCGGUGUAGUGGUGAAAUGCGUAGAGAUCGGGAGGAACACCCGUGCCGAAGGCGGCUCACUGGGCCGGUCCUGACGCUGAGACGCGAAGGCGUGGGGAGCGAACGGG